UGCUGUAUGAGAAACACAUAUGGGAAGGGAUGACUAACUCUUCAUGGGCACUGAAUAACUAGCCAGCUAGAGCCACAGAGACAAAGGCAUCUUCACAGAAACAGAAGCUUUGGGGGCACAGGGUACGGCUUCUGCUCACAGGUGUUGGGUUAGGAUAGGAGAUGCUCCUGGCCCACAGAUGGCCUGUUGCCCUGGGAGGUUUGGGUAUCUUAGAGGAGAAGGCCUAGCUGGUUCAUAAAAAGGUGGUGCGUGAGGGGUGUGGCAGGGUGUGUCCUCCUGCCUUGGUUACUGCUGCUUCCUGAUAGAAAGGAUGGAAAUUCUGUGCUACUAACUCCUACCUCCAUCAGCCAUGUCUUCAUGACCAUGAUGAACUGCACCCUCUACCCGCUGGGGAUUGAUCCAGGGUCUCAUGCAUGCUGAGUAAUUGCUCUAAGACCCCAAUUCCUUCUGCUUGUGUCUGUGUGGCAUUCUCGGAAAAGUCUCUCCAGAUAAAAUCCUGGGAAAAGCUCUCAGAGUUUGUGGAGAUGAUCUUCUCCACCAGCUGGUUGUAGCUGCAGUUGCCAACAGCUCUUACAAUGUCAUCGAUCUGGAAAACACAUGAUGGUCCCACUAGUCCCGGAGAGAUUGGAAACAGUAACAAAGACAGGCUCUCUCAACAUAGCACAAGCUAGCAUCGAAUUUGCCAUAAGGACUGCGAUGGGACCAGUGCUUUGAAGCUCCAGCCGCCAUGGCUUCCCUGACUUAAUGGACUGUACCCUCAAACUGUGAGCGAAAAUAAACCCUACCUUAAGUUGC